GAAACUGCGAAGGGCUCAUUAUAUAAGUUAUCGUUUAUUUGAUAUUGCCUAUCCUACAUGGAUAACAGUGGUAAUUCUAGAGCUAAUACAUGCUGAAAAUCCCGACUUCGGAAGGGACGUAUUUAUUAGAAUCAGAACCAAUGCCCUUCGGGGUUCCUUGGUGAAUCAUGAUAACUCCACAGAUCGCAUGGCCUUGCGCCGGCGAUGGCUCAUUCAAAUUUCUUCCCUAUCAACUUUCGACGGUACGGUCUUGGCCUACCGUGGUUGCAACGGGUGACGGAGGGUUAGGGCUCGACCCCGGAGAAGGAGCCUGAGAAACGGCUACUACAUCCAAGGAAGGCAGCAGGCGCGCAAAUUAUCCAAUCCCGACUCGGGGAGAUAGUGACAAUAAAUACCGAUACAGGGCUCUUUUGGGCCCUGUAAUUGGAAUGAGUACAAUUCAAACCUCUUAACGAGGAACAAUUGGAGGGCAAGUCUGGUGCCAGCAGCCGCGGUAAUUCCAGCUCCAAUAGCGUAUAUUAAAGUUGUUGUGGUUAAAAAGCUCGUAGUCGAACCUCGAGCCUGGCCGGCCGGUCCGCCUCACCGCGUGCACUGGUCUGGCCGGGCUCUUCCCUCUGCGGAACCGCAUGCCCUUCGCUGGGCGUGUCGGGGAGGCAGGACUUUUACUUUGAAAAAAUUAGAGUGCUCAAGGCAGGCCAAUGCUCGGAUACAUUAGCAUGGAAUAAUAGAAUAGGACGUUGGUUCUAUUUUGUUGGUUUCUAGGACCGCCGUAAUGAUCAAUAGGGACGGUCGGGGGCAUCAGUAUUCAGCCGUCAGAGGUGAAAUUCUUGGACCGGCUGAA
rnacentral:rRNA from 1 species